rnacentral:lncRNA from 1 species
GGGACUCACCCACAGUGGGCAGGGUCACCCCAGGCAGCCAGGGUGUCCAUUGGCUUCGUGUCUGUGUGCAGUAAUGGAGCAGGUGCAUGGGAGGGGGUGGGGAAUCACACUGAUGCCCAUGGUCCUCAUGGGUCAGGGGAGAGUGCAGAGGGGCUGUGGGCUUCACCCCUGCAGUUUCUGGAGGCUAUAGCAGCAUCAGCCAUACUCCACUUUGCUGUCUGUGCCCCUCAGCAGCGUGGGCACUGGCUGUGUGCAGCUCUGUACUCGGGUCUAAGGAAGGGGAGAGGCCGCAGCAGCUCCCGGUCAGGCCCCAUCGCUGCAGCAGCCGGGGGUCCCUCUCCUGAGACUUGGAGCCGAGGUCUCGGCACUGCUCGUCCUUGCCCUGCUGCCCCAGCCCUCGGCCAGGCAGUGUGGCCAGGCGGCUCAGGGCAUCCUCACCGCGAAGCCAUCCUCAGGACAGACAGACUGCCCCGGGGUUUCCAUGGGAGAUGCAGCAGCUCUUACCUGGACAAGGUAGCGCAGACCCUGGGCAGGUGGAGGUGGGGCUGCCAGGUGCAGGAGGACCGUGUCCUGGGCGUUUCUGUCCUUCCUGCAGGCCAUGGCUCCUGUGCCGGAGGCCCCUGGAUGGAGCUUGUCCCUCUGACCUCUGAAGUGAAAGAGGGUCCUGGGGCCACCAAAGGGUCUACACAGCAGAUGCUGCAGCAGAGCUAUGUCUCUGGUGACCCACGUCUCCACGAUCUUCCACGGGAAGACAGACUCCAAGACUUGCAGCUUCAGAAUCCUUGCCUCUGGGGUCAUCAAGCGUAUAGUGUCCUUCGUCCUCGCUGCCCCAAUGACAGGACAUCAUGGCUUCUCUGGCUGCCCCCAGGUCACCACGAUCGUCCACAGGAAGGUGGACUCCAAGAUGCCCAGCUUGAGAAUGCUAACCUUCCAGAAGAGGUGUUGAAAGGCCCUGGUCCUCGCUGCCCCAAGGACAGGUCCCCAUGGCUACUCUGGCUGCCCCAGGUCAUCAUGAUCAUCCAUUGGAAGACUGAUUCCAAGAUGCCCAGUUUCAGAAUCCUCGCCCUUCCAGAAAAGGGGUUGAAUGUCCCUCGUCCUUGCUACCCCACAGCCAGGACCCCAUGUCUUCUCUGGCUGCCCCCAGGUCAACAGGAUCAUC